UACGGGGGGGGCAAGCGUUGUUCGGAAUUACUGGGCGUAAGGGGCUCGUAGGCGGCCAACUAAGUCGGAUGUGAAAUCCCCAGGCUUAACCUGGGAACUGCAUCCGAUACUGGAUGGCUUGAAUCCGGGAGAGGGAUGCAGAAUUCCAGGUGUAGCGGUGAAAUGCGUAGAUAUCUGGAGGAACACCGGUGGCGAAGGCGGCAUCCUGGACCAACACUGACACUGAGGAGCGAAAGCCAGGGGAGCAAACGGG
rnacentral:rRNA from 1 species